GCUCCUUCUCCAGCAAAGUGUUGCUAUUCUGACCACGAUCUAUCCUUCUAUAUGAUACAACCCUAUCUGAUGAUUGCAAUCCUUUAUUUCCUCACCCAACAGCUUUUUGAUAAUGCUGAAAAUGACUUUCCCCCGUUCAGCAAAGAAAUUAGCUUUGAAUUACCUUGAUUUCAAUUGCAAUUGUGACCUUUAGAUGACGUUGAAGAAUUUAGAUGAUCAUCUUCGAUUUUGAUUUUUGAUUCAUA
rnacentral:lncRNA from 1 species